GUUAAUCUACUAAGCGUACCCGUUUGAUUCCCUCUCAGUCAGAGGCGAUGAAGGGCGUGCUAAUCUGCGAUAAGCGCCGGUAAGGUGAUAUGAAC
rnacentral:rRNA from 1 species